AGAUGGCACUACACGGCAGUGGUUUUGCUGGUGAUAAGUUAUCGAUACAUUGACACCAAGUUUCUACACAAUUUUUUUUAUAUUUUUUUUUUAAGACUGAGGA